GACGAACGCUGGCGGCGUGCUUAACACAUGCAAGUCGAACGGAAAGGCCCUGCUUUUGUGGGGUGCUCGAGUGGCGAACGGGUGAGUAACACGUGAGUAACCUGCCCUUGACUUUGUGAUAACUUCAGGAAACUGGGGCUAAUACCGGAUAGGAGCUCCUGCUGCAUGGUGGGGGUUGGAAAGUUUCGGCGGUUGGGGAUGGACUCGCGGCUUAUCAGCUUGUUGGUGGGGUAGUGGCGUACCAAGGGUUUGACGGGUAGCCGGCCUGAGAGGGUGACCGGCCACAUUGGGACUGAGAGACGGCCCAGACGCCUACGGGAGGCAGCAGUGGGGAAUAUUGCACAAUGGGCGGAAGCCUGAUGCAGCAACGCCGCGUGCGGGAUGACGGCCUUCGGGUUGUAAACCGCUUUCGCCUGUGACGAAGCGUGAGUGACGGUAAUGGGUAAAGAAGCACCGGCUAACUACGUG
rnacentral:rRNA from 1 species